CACUCGACAUAGUUUUAGAGCCUGUCCUGUAUUUCUGUACUUUCAGAAAACCUGUUUUUUUUUCAGCCUCUUCCUCUGCAGAUGACGUUGGUGAUUAAUAUCUGUGAGCAGCACUGACCUAUGCCUGAGUGAAGAGACAUAUAAGUAGGUGCAGAUUGGUGUAGGCUUUGUGCUGCCUUAUAACAGUGGCAGUAUAUUUAAAGUGUACAUCAGAUGCCAAGUGUGCAAUAGAUGUGGGCCUGUGGACACCAGCAGAAGCUGGGGAAAGACGCCUGACUGGGCAGGCCUGCCGCACAGUUUGGAUUCAACCAGAAAGCUUGCGGCAACACCGGAGAAAGUGGCUGCUGUGAAGAGUGCAGAUUGGUGUGGGAUUUGUGAUGCCACUCAACAAGUGGCAUUACAUACUAAAGUGUAUCUCCGAAGCCAAGUGCGCAUUAGGUCUGGCACAGCACCUGUGGACACCAACACAAGCUGGGGAAAGAAGCCCGACUGGGCCGGCCAGCCGGACUAUCUCUGAUGCAUCUGGGAAGCUUCUGGCAACACCAGAGAAAGUGGCUGCUGUGAAGAACUGCCUGGAGAAGUACAUCGGGGAACAUCCGAUGUGGGCCACCAGCACCACCUCCAGAGCACCACCUUGCUUCUGUAACGAAGCACCUUUGGAGCUUCUUCACAGAAGCGGGCGCGAGGGCAAGCGAGUAUGGAAGACGUGAAUCGCCUUAACCUAUUGCAUUUUUUCAAUAAAGUGUGAAGG